GCCAGCAGCUAGCUCUCUGCAACUCUCACAUGGUCACCCACUGAAACUAAGCAGGGCUGCGCCCGGUCAGUACCUGGAUGGGGGAAAUCGCAUGGGAAAGCUAGGUUGCUGCCGGAA
rnacentral:rRNA from 1 species